CGCCCAUCCACACCCCAGGCCACACGCACGAGCAGCUGAGAGAGCGAGCUGGCGCUGCAGCUGCCUAGCAGGGCACAGCGAGCACCGCUGUUGUCCGACGACAUGAACUGUGUUUGAAGGGAAGUAACGAGAGAGAGAGAAUGCCAGUAGCUGCUUCGAUGGCUGGCACACCGGUGGUUCUGGAUAACGGGACGGGCAACGUUAGAUGCGGCUGUGCCGGCGUCUCUCCGUUGCCGCUGCUCCUCUGCCCCACCGUCCUGGGCCGACCGACGAUGCAAGCCGUCACCCCACUCUCGCGCAUCGCAGACUCGCCUGCGGCCUCGCUAUCAUCUUCUCACUUCGCGAAAUCCUCCCUGUGCACGUCAGUGUUCAAGGGGCUGACGGCGGUGCGUGGCCUGGAAAGCAUGCGUCUCCAUCGAGCACAGCCUCUUGAAAAGAAAGCCCUGUGCGGGGACGACCUUGCGGCGACGGGGGCGCUCGCCAUGGUGGAGCUGACGUAUCCGAUGCGCAACGGCGUGGUUCACAACAUGGACGCCAUGCAGGUGAUCUGGGACUACGCCUUGUGCGAGCGGCUGCCGGCGCUGGUGGGGCCGUCUGGUGGGAGCACAGCCCGAUGGCGGUACGAAGACGGCCUCGCGUGGCUGCAGGACAGGCCCUUGCAGCUGAGCGAGCCACCGAAUAUGUCGCUUCGACAGCGAUGUGACCUUCUUGGGCUGUUCUUCGAAAAAUACGGCCUUUCAGCGAUUCAGACGGUGCAGCAGGGAAUCCUGUCGCUCUUCGCGAACGGCACCGAGCGUGGCGUCGUCGUCGAGUGCGGCGAGGGGCUCUCCCACUGUACGCCGGUGUUCGACGGAUUCGUGCUGGCGACUGCACAGCGCCUCGUUGACGUGGCUGGUCGCGCGGUGACGGAGCGCCUUGGGCAGGUCCUGGGGCAUCAGCAGCCGCAUCGACGGUACCAGCGUCGUGUGCCAACAGGGUCUGAUAUAGGCGCAAUGUCGCAUGCGUCUUGGCUCUUCAAUGACAUGAACACACUCCGACAGAUUAAGGAGCAUUACUGCUUUGUGGCACACCGGAGGAACGGCCUGGAGGAUCGGCUGACGCGGGAGACGAGCGCUCUGCACCGCGAUUGUGUGCUUCCGGACGGCACCUCCUGCCGCCUGGGGCCCGAGCGGUUCGCCGCGCCAGAGGUUCUCUUCAACCCGCAAGAGAUCGACCACGAGUGUGACGGCAUUGCCACGGCGCUGUGGAAGUCGAUCGAGGCCGCCGACAUCGACGUGCGUGCUGCCCUCUAUGAGAACAUCAUCCUCUCCGGAGGAUCCACCUUGCUGCCAGGCUUUGGGGCGCGGCUGCAGCGGGAGAUGAAAUCCUUCUACUUGACGGAGAAGCUAAACGGCGACCCGGCACGCAUGGCUCGGUGCCCGAUCCGGGUAAAGGAGCCGCAACGGCGGCAACACAUGGUAUACAUGGGCGGUGCCCUCCUUGCAGAGCUAUCGCAGGAUCAGCCAGAGAGGUGGCUGUCGCGGAGCGCCUACGAGGAAGGCGGCACCUCUGCGAUCAUCGCUCGCUACCAUGGAGCAAACUGAUCGAGCGUCGAUUUGUGCGCUCGUUGUUGCCGCGCCGGCGGCAUUUUAUCCGUCGACUUGUUGGCCAACGGCGCUGCAGAGAAGAGCGGCAGCACAUGCAUCGCUCUUUGUUGAUUUUUUCGUGUUCUCUGAUGACCGGAGGAUACCCUCACCCUCAAAUCUCAGGGUCCAGUGCCCACCCACCCACCCCCUCGCAACUCGCUGUGCUGGAAAGCCAAGCAGCACCCCGAUCCCCAUCCCCUGCCAAGUGCCGAGCCGCUUCUGCUGGUGACAGGGGGGUUAGUGUUGGGUGCAGGGGCCGCGCUCAGGUCACCGAGCUGGCGCCUUGCCGUAAACGCGUGUGUCUCCUGCCGCCUCGCACCACGCGGAUGGGGCCUGUGGCAGGGGCCGGGUGGUGGGGAGUGGGGUGCGGAGUGGCGUUGGGCCUCGUGUUGCAUGGCCGAGAGAGGGAGCGGGGGCGCACGCUUCCGUUAACCCUUUGCAGGCGCAUUUCCUGUUGAGGCGCGCCCCUCCUUUCUGCUCGUCGCGCGUUGCGCCACCUAUCCCUUCUCGCCCACUCGCGCUAUUUUCAUUUGUGCUGCGCAGCACCGCUCCGCCGCAAUGCCUUCCACAAC
rnacentral:misc_RNA from 1 species